rnacentral:lncRNA from 1 species
UUGGAAACAGUUCCUUUCAGUCCUUAUUUUAUUUGCGGAAGUGUAUUAAACACACUUUAUGCCGGGCCCUGCGCUAAGCAUUUAAUAUCCAUUAGCUAAUUUAAUCCUAAACAGGAAGACUCUCAAACAGUUACCAUUUUUAUUCCUACUUUGCAGGCGAAGAGACAGCGGCACAGAGCAGUCAAGUAAUUUCCCAGCAUCGCACAGUGAGGACGCAGACGCACGCCCUGCACUUCCUGACUGUCCCCGCUGCCACCGCUGGAGUGACAGGAGACAAGAUGUCAAGAUGUUCCUGACCAUGGUCGGUGGUUCACAAAUGUUAGCAAUCUUUCCUCCUCCCAUUUUCUUCAAGAACUCCAAGAAUAUCUUUGCACCCUGCCUUCUCCUGUUCAUAUUACUGAUUUUUCCCGUCCAUACAGCUAUUUUAUUAUGCUACUAAAUGGAUAAAUACCUUCAAAAUAUUGAUAAUUACUGAAUCAAAAUGGGAAGUCCAGGAAUGUGUCAUUGGAAUAUUUGAGCAAUUCAGAAGGGGGGUGAAUCUGCCAGUGUGACUCUAUAUGAUUAAAAGAAAUGUGUGAUGCAGUGCUUUCUUGGCCAUUAGUAAGCUUUUGUCUAGUAUGUAAUUGCAUCUAGGCACAGGAAGAUUUUCUCCUUGUGAAGAUGUCCUCAUUUCUUCAGGUAUCCUUUUGAAACAUUCACAGAAAGACGCUGUUGAUUUAUGUAAACAACCAUGUGUAAUGGGUUAUUGAAUAGGGCUUUGCUAGACCAGAUACCUUGAGUGGUGCUCAACGAGAAAAGAGGUAAUUAAUCCCCCAUAUUCAAAAGGUAGGUACUAGAUCUCUCCUUGCUGGGCUGAAUACUGUUGGCCGCUCUACUGUUGAGGCAGCCUCAUCCCUCCAUCCAAGUAGCCCAAAGAAGGAGCAACUGGAGGAUGAAAGGAGGGAAGCCGAGGUCACCUAUAUCCCCAGUGGUGUGGCAAUGAUGUGCUUAGAAGAUGCUGAAGGAAUUAGCUAAGCUGGAGCUGCUUUGUAAAAACAAAGACCAAGAGCGUGCCUGGUGCUAUGGGGCUUUGGGGUAGGAGGUAUGGGUGUGGGAGCUGGUGACAGGAGGGAGGGCACAGAAGUGAGAGAGCUCUCCACAUGUCUCUGGGAAGCAUGCGCUAUCCACAUUCCAUGAGGCUUCUGAGGAACCCACAUAUCUGCAUCUGGGGAAGAGCCUAGCAUCUGGACAUCUGUCCCUUGAAGGGCCCCAGUAAUUUAUUGUAACAGAAGCAAUCAAGUGAGACGUGUUCGUGUUCUCAAGUCCUUCCUCUCGCUAGCCUUGGCAGAAGGAGCAGAGAGCUAAACAAGACAGGAACAGCCUGUAUUCUCUUCCACACUGGAGGCCCCUGAGCUGGGGAUCAGCCUGAGCCUGGGAUGGGAAGAAGCUUUGAAUCAGAC